AUUCAUUCACUUCAGUGCUGUGUAACUAUCUCCUUGCUUUGCACAGUCAUUUUGCUUGAAAUGAUGAAUAAUGCCUGGGUAGUGUAAAUUCCCUGGGGGCCAUAGCAGAUGCUAGAAACUCUACCAGUGGUGUUGAGGCAUUUGGAAAAUUCUUUUCUUUCCAUACUUUACGCUAUAAGAAGAACUUCAAUACUUGAUUGCAAAGGAGUUUGCCUUGAGGGAUAGAAAAUUUCAGAAGACACAUAGAUAGAAGUUUUAUAAGUUUUCAUAAAGAAGUUCUAAAAAAGACUGAAGAGAUUGAUGGACAGAAAGGACAUUCUCCUGUCUGUAGUCUAUACAAGAUAAAAAAAUAUUCACAUCAGCAUUAGCAUUCAAUAUCAAUUUUUCAUAUGCCCUCUACUGACUGUAUCAGGGAGAUCCUUCUUUUGAACUAGACACCCCACACCCCAUAAGCAGCAUUUAUUUUUGUGAAGAGCAAAACCAUAUUCAAGCCUUAUGACCCUGGAACUUUGCUUAGGAGUGCUGUAAUUAGAGCUUGUAUCUCUUUACCUUGAGCUUCAAAUCUGCUUAGCAAACCUGGAGGCUUGGCUCUAAACCCAGCAUUUAUGCUAAGAUGCUGUGCUAGCUACACUCUUGGAUUUGUCAAAACAAUCCAGCCAACUCUCAUAGGAAACCAGAAACAAGAAGGAAAAAUUUGGCCAAAUUCCUAUAUCCAAAUAUUUUUACAGCAUGAGAAAUUGAACUAAUAAUGCUUCUGUCUGGUUAACAGCUGUCAAAGGAUGAAAAAUAAGCUACUGGGAAUGUAGUCAAUCACUCACUCCUUUUAAUGUGGUGUGAAAUCCAUAAAGGCAUUUAUACUGACUCUUAAUGUGUUUUACAGAAAAAUCACUGGUAGCUGUGUUGAAGACAUGCCAACUUUUAACAAGCAGCGUCUGGUGCUUUCCGGGCCACUCCAUGCAUGUGCAUCGUGUAGAGAAUGAGCUUGCACUCUCUUUGCUUCUGGGAAUGCAUGUUCAGUAACAUCCCCUCUCUUCCCCCUCUGCUUGAGGAAGCUCAGGCCAGGAGUUAGGCAGCCAGUGAAGAGGCCAGGUGCACAGACUUCAGACAGAUGUUUCGCCCAUGUGUGGAGCAGACAGAAUUACAUGUGAGAGGCCCAUUAGGUGCCCUAGUGUGUGAGCAUGCCUGAGGAGUAGAGGAGUUCACUGCGGCACCACAAGAUCUCCUGCAGACUGCUGUGGCUUUGUCCAGAAGGUUUGUAAAGCCACAUCUAUCUUCCCCCAAAUAGAUCCUUUUGGUGUUUGCUUUUUACUAUUUUUGAUGCUUUCUUUUUACUAUUUUUAGUAUACAGUUUCACUUUUACAUAACUUGGAUCUAGUUGUGCAUUGCAUUGUUAUAGCUACAGGACUAUUUCCUUGCUGUUCCUGCACUUACUCUUGUCUUUCCAAAUUUUGGAAUUUAUCUGAAUGGUUCCUUAGAGUGUUUGUGGUAAUAAAUCUUUGUCUAGUUGAUAGUUACUCCCCUCAAAUUCAGAUAAUAAAGCAGCAGCUGUUCUAGAAA